UACGUAGGUGGCAAGCGUUGUCCGGAAUUAUUGGGCGUAAAGGGCGUGUAGGUGGAUCCUUAAGUCGUGUGUCUAAGUGCGGGGCUCAACCCCGUAUAGGCGCAGGAAACUGGGGAUCUUGAGUGCAGGAGAGGAAAGUGGAAUUCCCAGUGUAGCGGUGAAAUGCGUAGAUAUUGGGAGGAACACCAGUGGCGAAGGCGACUUUCUGGACUGUGUCUGACACUGAGGCGCGAAAGCUAGGGGAGCGAACGGG
rnacentral:rRNA from 1 species